rnacentral:tRNA from 1 species
AGCUUUAUAGUCAAUUUUUAUGAUAUUAGACUGCAAUUCUAAAGUAGAUUAUUUAAUCUAAAGCUU